rnacentral:lncRNA from 1 species
GGGUGGAGCCUCUAAGGAAAAUUCUGUUGCUAGGCCAAGGGGCAAGGUUUGGAAAGACACUAUGUGCUGCCAAGCCCAGGAAAGCAAGUUAAUGAGAAGUUCUGACCUGCAGGUCACCGUGCCCCUCAGCCUCUGUAACUCUGCGAGCCAAUUCGUUAUAAGAAGUCCUGGAGCUGAAGACUGUGGCUCAGCAAUGAAGAAUGCUAACAGCUCUCACAGAGGACCAGAGCUCAGCUCCCAGCAUCGGCAUCAGAUGACUCACAAACACUCCUGGAUCUCCAGCUCUAAGGGAUCAGAUGUCCCCUUGUUGCCUCUGUGGGCACCCAGACAUGUGCGCAGAUAUACACAUAAGUAAAAUAAAUCUUAAAAAAAAAAAACAAACCCAGUCAACCAUCCAUCACCUGUCCCGCAUCCUCACGGCUCUGGCUCUCUGCAGCACCCGGACUGCCCUAAUACAAGCCUCCCCACCUUGCUGCCUUCUUUACUCAAUGUGGAAGUUACGGGUAGGGACAAACCUGAGACAGGCCAAGCAGGAGGAAGGAGAGACUCAGAGGCUUGGAAGGAAAGCAAAUGUUGGCAAUUUGGUGAUGUGACAAAUAGAGGCAGUGGACGCAGGGC